GUCGAGAUAGGUGGUCAUCAUCUGUUUAGAACUCUCAGCGGUAUUUACUUUACUUUCCUGGGAUAAUAGACUAGCAAUUUCAUCCGGCAAAAAUGUUGAGGAAACGAUGUUUGUUAAUACUUCAGUGUGGCUAGAUAUGGUAGUUCUAGACCCUUCAAAGAAUGUGGUUAACGCUCUUUGUUUCAAAUUUCUUACCAUCCCCGGUUAUUGCUGGCAAACUUGGUGUCGGACUCACAUGAUAAGACUGAUCUGAAGUCGAAACGGGCCGGGUCGAACCAAUAUAUCACACAGCUGCCAUUGUUUUAUAAUUUAUAUCAUUGUUUUCAAUUAUAAAUUUUUCUUAUUCGUUACAAAAUAGUUUUUCGACUAUUUUCAGUUUUAAUAAAUAAAAAAAUAAAUCAUUACUCAAAGAUUUUGGUCAUAAAGUGUUGUUAUUUUUAAAUAUAAUAUAAGCUACACGACGAAGCUAAUCAAUAAAUCCGAAUACACAUAUUUGUACAGCAACAAUAAAAUUUGGCCCACCGCUAUCUUAAAUGUUUGCUUAUAUCUUUUAUGAGAUUUCCACUUAUACCACAUUUGGCCACGGCUUAAAACAGGUUUUGCUUGUCAAUACCUAAGGUAGCCAGUUAGACGCGAAUACAACAAAAAUUACAUGUAUCCGAGGCUUAGAUAUUUCAAAAUAACCACAAGGUAUUGUUUCCGCGAAGCUUUUAAGAUUAUAUAAUAUUUGGAGAAAUGUACGGGAUACAUUGCGAUCAGUAGAGCCAUUUUCG